rnacentral:rRNA from 1 species
GUGGGGAAUUUUGGACAAUGGGGGCAACCCUGAUCCAGCCAUUCCGCGUGAGUGAAGAAGGCCUUCGGGUUGUAAAGCUCUUUCGGCAGGAACGAAACGGUCCGCUCUAACAUAGCGGGCUACUGACGGUACCUGAAGAAGAAGCACCGGCUAACUACGUGCCAGCAGCCGCGGUAAUACGUAGGGUGCGAGCGUUAAUCGGAAUUACUGGGCGUAAAGCGUGCGCAGGCGGCUUUUUAAGCCAGAUGUGAAAUCCCCGGGCUUAACCUGGGAACUGCAUUUGGAACUGGAAGGCUAGAGUGCGGCAGAGGGGGGUAGAAUUCCACGUGUAGCAGUGAAAUGCGUAGAGAUGUGGAGGAAUACCGAUGGCGAAGGCAGCCCCCUGGGUCGACACUGACGCUCAUGCACGAAAGCGUGGGGAGCAAACAGGAUUAGAUACCCGAGUAGUCC